GAAAUGCGAUAAGUAGUGUGAAUUGCAGAAUUCAGUGAAUCAUCGAAUCUUUGAACGCACAUUGCGCCCCUUGGUAUUCCAUGGGGCAUGCCUGUUCGAGCGUCAUUGUACCCUCAAGCUCUGCUUGGUGUUGGGUGUUUGUCCCGUCUCCGCGCGUGGACUCGCCCCAAAGUGAUUGGCAGCCGGCGUACUGGUCCCGGAGCGCAGCACAUGUCGCGCAAACGAGUGCCUUGGUACGGCGGCGUCCAUAAGCCCCUCUCUCACGCUCUUGACCUCGGAUCAGGUAGGGAUACCCGCUGAACUUAAGC
rnacentral:misc_RNA from 1 species